GUCUAUGAGAAAGGAAAGGCUGCAUGCUAUGUUAGUGAAUACUCAAGGUGUAAGGAACUGACACAAUGGAGAGGAUAUUCUAUCAUCAAAUGUGGGUGCACAAAGUCAAACCGAGCAAACUAUUACUGAUGUUUCAGCUAAUAUCAAACUAACUUUAGAAUCCAAGAUAGAUUUCAGCCACUUGGAUCCAUGUCUAAGUGUGGGGAGCAACAACAUCAAUUUGGGAAUUGUCCCGGGAUAGAUUCUUAUGCUGGUCGCACUCCUAAUGCAAUGAU
rnacentral:lncRNA from 1 species